AUGUAGUUUUAAAGAUAAUGCGAAAUCUCCGAAGUUAGCCCCAGGACAUCGCCAGUCUACACCAAGAGGACUACUGUUUCAUACCGCCCACUGACUUCGGAAAAUAGCUCAUUGUAAUCAGCAGAGACAGGCACCCCUCACUGUCAGUCUGGUGCUGUGUCCCCAUUGGUCCAGAUGUGAGAGCAGAACCAGCAGUGUCACCUCUAACCCUCAGGGCCCGUCGUCAUGAACAUGGUGUUGUCGUUACCAAGGCCGUCGUGGGGGGUGUGGUCUGUGUUAGUCCCAGGUCUGGCCCUACUGCUGUGUCUGGCCCUGGCCCUGAUGGGCUGUGUGAUCAGGAAGAAGAGAAGGAUGGAGGGAAUGUAUCGGCCCAGUGCGGAGGAGAGCAAACAGACAGGACCACGGGGGCUGAGAGACCA